rnacentral:rRNA from 1 species
GAGUUUGAUCUUGGCUCAGGACGAACGCUGGCGGCGUGCUUAACACAUGCAAGUCGAACGGUGAUGCCCUUCGGGGUUGAUCAGUGGCGAACGGGUGAGUAACACGUGAGCAACCUGCUCCUGGCUCUGGGACAACCACUGGAAACGGUGGCUAAUACCGGAUACGACUCAUUCGGGCAUCCGAUGUGAGUGGAAAGUUUUUCGGUUGGGGAUGGGCUCGCGGCCUAUCAGCUUGUUGGUGGGGUGAUGGCCUACCAAGGCGACGACGGGUAGCCGGCCUGAGAGGGCGAUCGGCCACACUGGGACUGAGACACGGCCCAGACUCCUACGGGAGGCAGCAGUGGGGAAUAUUGCACAAUGGGCGAAAGCCUGAUGCAGCGACGCCGCGUGAGGGAUGACGGCC